rnacentral:tRNA from 80 species
GGCGGAUGUAGCCAAGUGGAUCAAGGCAGUGGAUUGUGAA